UACGGGGGGGGCAAGCGUUGUUCGGAAUUACUGGGCGUAAAGGGCUCGUAGGCGGCCAACUAAGUCGGAUGUGAAAUCCCCAGGCUCAACUUGGGAACUGCAUCCGAUACUGGAUGGCUUGAAUUCGGGAGAGGGAUGCAGAAUUCCAGGUGUAGCGGUGAAAUGCGUAGAUAUCCGGAGGAACACCGGUGGCGAAGGCGGCUUCCUGGACCGAUACUGACGCUGAGGCGCGAAAGCGUGGGGAGCAAACAGG
rnacentral:rRNA from 1 species